GGGUUGUGAGGUUAAGCGACUAAGCGUACACGGUGGAUGCCCUGGCAGUCAGAGGCGAUGAAGGACGUGCUAAUCUGCGAAAAGCGUCGGUAAGGUGAUAUGAACCGUUAUAACCGGCGAUGUCCGAAUGGGGAAACCCAGUGCAAUUCGUUGCACUAUCGUUAACUGAAUACAUAGGUUAACGAGGCGAACCGGGGGAACUGAAACAUCUAAGUACCCCGAGGAAAAGAAAUCAACCGAGAUUCCCCCAGUAGCGGCGAGCGAACGGGGAGCAGCCCAGAGUCUGAAUCAGCUUGUGUGUUAGUGGAACGGUCUGGAAAGUCCGACGGUACAGGGUGAUAGUCCCGUACACCAAAAUGCACAGGCUGUGAACUCGAAGAGUAGGGCGGGACACGUGGUAUCCUGUCUGAAUAUGGGGGGACCAUCCUCCAAGGCUAAAUACUCCUGACUGACCGAUAGUGAACCAGUACCGUGAGGGAAAGGCGAAAAGAACCCCGGCGAGGGGAGUGAAAAAGAACCUGAAACCGUGUACGUACAAGCAGUGGGAGCACCUUCGGGUGUGACUGCGUACCUUUUGUAUAAUGGGUCAGCGACUUAUAUUCUGUAGCAAGGUUAACCGUAUAGGGGAGCCGCAGGGAAACCGAGUCUUAACUGGGCGUUAAGUUGCAGGGUAUAGACCCGAAACCCGGUGAUCUAGCCAUGGGCAGGUUGAAGGUUGGGUAACACUAACUGGAGGACCGAACCGACUAAUGUUGAAAAAUUAGCGGAUGACUUGUGGCUGGGGGUGAAAGGCCAAUCAAACCGGGAGAUAGCUGGUUCUCCCCGAAAGCUAUUUAGGUAGCGCCUCGUGAACUCAUCUUCGGGGGUAGAGCACUGUUUCGGCUAGGGGGUCAUCCCGACUUACCAACCCGAUGCAAACUACGAAUACCGAAGAAUGUUAUCACGGGAGACACACGGCGGGUGCUAACGUCCGUCGUGAAGAGGGAAACAACCCAGACCGCCAGCUAAGGUCCCAAAGUCAUGGUUAAGUGGGAAACGAUGUGGGAAGGCACAGACAGCCAGGAUGUUGGCUUAGAAGCAGCCAUCAUUUAAAGAAAGCGUAAUAGCUCACUGGUCGAGUCGGCCUGCGCGGAAGAUGUAACGGGCUAAACCAUGCACCGAAGCUGCGGCAGCGACACUAUGUGUUGUUGGGUAGGGAGCGUUCUGUAAGCCUGCGAAGGUGUGCUGUGAGGCAUGCUGGAGGUAUCAGAAGUGCGAAUGCUGACAUAAGUAACGAUAAAGCGGGUGAAAAGCCCGCUCGCCGGAAGACCAAGGGUUCCUGUCCAACGUUAAUCGGGGCAGGGUGAGUCGACCCUAAGGCGAGGCCGAAAGGCGUAGUCGAUGGGAAACAGGUUAAUAUUCCUGUACUUGGUGUUACUGCGAAGGGGGACGGAGAAGGCUAUGUUAGCCGGGCGACGGUUGUCCCGGUUUAAGCAUGUAGGCUGAUUGUCGAAAUCCGGAUAAUCAAGGCUGAGGUGUGAUGACGAGGCACUACGGUGCUGAAGUAACAAAUGCCCUGCUUCCGGAAAAGCCUCUAAGCAUCAGGUAACAUCAAAUCGUACCCCAAACCGACACAGGUGGUCAGGUAGAGAAUACCAAGGCGCUUGAGAGAACUCGGGUGAAGGAACUAGGCAAAAUGGUGCCGUAACUUCGGGAGAAGGCACGCUGGUGUGUAGGUGAAGUCCCUGCGGAUGGAGCUGAGACCAGUCGAAGAUACCAGCUGGCUGCAACUGUUUAUUAAAAACACAGCACUGUGCAAACACGAAAGUGGACGUAUACGGUGUGACGCCUGCCCGGUGCCGGAAGGUUAAUUGAUGGGGUUAUCCGUAAGGAGAAGCUCUUGAUCGAAGCCCCGGUAAACGGCGGCCGUAACUAUAACGGUCCUAAGGUAGCGAAAUUCCUUGUCGGGUAAGUUCCGACCUGCACGAAUGGCGUAAUGAUGGCCCAGGCUGUCUCCACCCGAGACUCAGUGAAAUUGAACUCGCUGUGAAGAUGCAGUGUACCCGCGGCAAGACGGAAAGACCCCGUGAACCUUUACUAUAGCUUGACACUGAACAUUGAGCCUUGAUGUGUAGGAUAGGUGGGAGGCUUUGAAGCGUGGACGCCAGUCUGCGUGGAGCCAACCUUGAAAUACCACCCUUUAAUGUUUGAUGUUCUAACGUUGGCCCCUGACCGGGGUUGCGGACAGUGUCUGGUGGGUAGUUUGACUGGGGCGGUCUCCUCCCAAAGCGUAACGGAGGAGCACGAAGGUUAGCUAAUCCCCUGGUCGGACAUCAGGAGGUUAGUGCAAUGGCAUAAGCUAGCUUGACUGCGAGCGUGACGGCGCGAGCAGGUGCGAAAGCAGGUCAUAGUGAUCCGGUGGUUCUGAAUGGAAGGGCCAUCGCUCAACGGAUAAAAGGUACUCCGGGGAUAACAGGCUGAUACCGCCCAAGAGUUCAUAUCGACGGCGGUGUUUGGCACCUCGAUGUCGGCUCAUCACAUCCUGGGGCUGAAGUAGGUCCCAAGGGUAUGGCUGUUCGCCAUUUAAAGUGGUACGCGAGCUGGGUUUAGAACGUCGUGAGACAGUUCGGUCCCUAUCUGCCGUGGGCGCUGGAGAAUUGAGGGGGGCUGCUCCUAGUACGAGAGGACCGGAGUGGACGCAUCACUGGUGUUCGGGUUGUCAUGCCAAUGGCACUGCCCGGUAGCUAAAUGCGGAAGAGAUAAGUGCUGAAAGCAUCUAAGCACGAAACUUGCCCCGAGAUGAGUUCUCCCUGAGACUUUAAGUCUCCUGAAGGAACGUUAAAGACGAUGACGUUGAUAGGCCGGGUGUGUAAGCGCAGCGAUGCGUUGAGCUAACCGGUACUAAUGAACCGUGAGGCUUAACCUUACAACGCCGAAG
rnacentral:rRNA from 1 species